rnacentral:rRNA from 1 species
UACAGAGGGGGCAAGCGUUGUUCGGAAUUACUGGGCGUAAAGAGCGCGCAGGCGGUCGUUCAAGUCGAGUGUGAAAGCCCCCGGCUCAACUGGGGAGGGUCAUUCGAUACUGAUCGACUCGAAGGCAGGAGAGGGUAGUGGAAUUCCCGGUGUAGUGGUGAAAUGCGUAGAUAUCGGGAGGAACACCAGUGGCGAAGGCGACUACCUGGCCUGUUCUUGACGCUGAGGCGCGAAAGCUAGGGGAGCAAACGGGG